UCACUAUCCAGAGCGGCGGAGGGAACAGGCCCGACGACGCCGCAGCAACCAGGAGACGCAUGAACCAGUCCAGUCCCUUUUCCGCCCGCUCCGCCCGUUCCCAGGGCCGCGCGCGCUGUUGUUGACCGACUGACCCCGGCCCUCCCCGGUGCUUCACGCCUGCCCGACUGCGGGACCGAUAGCGG
rnacentral:ncRNA from 2 species